rnacentral:rRNA from 1 species
GACGAACGCUGGCGGCGUGCUUAACACAUGCGAGUCGAACGGAAAGGCCCUGCUUUUGUGGGGUGCUCGAGUGGCGAACGGGUGAGUAACACGUGAGUAACCUGCCCUUGACUUUGGGAUAACUUCAGGAAACUGGGGCUAAUACCGGAUAGGAGCUCCUGCUGCAUGGUGGGGGUUGGAAAGUUUCGGCGGUUGGGGAUGGACUCGCGGCUUAUCAGCUUGUUGGUGGGGUAGUGGCUUACCAAGGCUUUGACGGGUAGCCGGCCUGAGAGGGUGACCGGCCACAUUGGGCCUGAGAUACGGCCCAUACUCCUACGGGAGGCAGGGGUGGGGACUAUUGCACAAUGGGCGGAAGCCUGAUGCAGCAACUCCGCGUGCGGGAUGACGGCCUUCGGGUUGUAAACCGCUUUCGCCUGUGACGAAGCGUGAGUGACGGUAAUGGGUAAAGAAGCACCGGCUAACUACGU